ACCACUACUCAUGUAGUGAUUUCAAGAUGCCGAUAAAUGUGUUGGUAUGCCAGCGGUGUUAUGAAGAGGUGCAGUCAUUUGAAAGCACAAAGACUGUUGUUGUAACUCUUCUUCUUUGCAAACAUAUGUAGUGUCCUUGUAAAUCUGUACACUCCCUGUCUUUGAAUGAAUUGCAUUUGUGUACUUGAGGUUUAGAGGAAUUCACAAGUGGCAGGGAGAGCGCUAAACACACUAAAGCUUACUAUUGGCAACCUCUGAAGUGAUCUGUUGCACUUUCAGACUAUCCCAUAUUUUCACGUUAACAAAAACACAUUUAUUAACAUCGGAAAUACUAGUAUUUAAUACACUACCAGGACACACCUUCUCAUUUAAUGCUUUUUCUUUAUUUUCAUGACUAUUCACAUUGUAGAUUCUCACUGAAGGCAUCAUAACUAUGAAUGAACACAUAUGAAUGACCUGACGUCCUGGCUCGUCCUUGCCAUAGCAUUUGUGCUGUACCUCAUCGAUUGCUUUUUUUGCUUCCCCCUGAGUUCCUGUGCUGCUCACUAUUUCACCAUGUACCAGGACACACUGAUUGAUGGUGAGUUAAUGAUACUUUUAUCUGUCUAUCAUUUUAUCUGUCUCACUUGUUUCUCUCUGUUUUCAUUUCCUCAGCUGUUACAGGUCAGAGUAUGGAGUCCAUUCCUUCCAAUCCUGUCGUGAAAAGGCCUGGAGAGACUCUCAGUUUCUCCUGUAAAGGAUGUGGUUUCACAGUUAGUUGCUGUACUAUGGAUUGUAUAAAACAACAACCAGGAAAUGAACUGGAAUGGAUACGAGAAGGCUUUUUAUCUUCCAGCAGAAACAGAUACAUGAGCUGUUUGAGUGGACAUAUAGAAUUACCGAAGACAACAGCAACAGUAUGACAUAUCUGAGACUUCCAUCCUAAAACCAGAAAACUCUGUUGUGUAUUUCUGUGUGAAAGACAAACAAUGGUUUAAGUAAUGACAUAAGCUUUACAAAAACCUUCAGCCAUACAGUUUCACAAGAACCUACAGAUGAUCAAAAAUAUGAUGUUCAACUCACUGUCACAAUAACACCUGUGUUUAUCCUCUAUGAAUGCUUUUAAAAUAUAAAAAAGACUUUUGAUUAUAAUGAAAAAUAAUAUGGAAAAUAUCAUUCAAAAACACUGAAACACCAUUUUUAAGAGGGAUACAAAAAUAGAUUCAAGAAUCCUUGUGUAAUUUUCCAAAUUAUGCAUUCACACAAUAUGUUUGUAGGAGCAUCCUAUGUGAAUCAGAGCUUCUUCCUGAGUUAAUAAUAGAUACAUAUUAUAUUAACACAAUUUUAAGUGAGAGUCCUCUUGUGAGAGGGCUCUCAGAGUCCUUCUCAAUAUGCAAAGUGAACUUCCUGACAGUCUGCUAUUAAGACGUGAAAUCAUGGCACCGGUUACAGAAGAAGAUGAGACGUUCUAAUCAGAUCAACUUCAGUACCAACAUGUUCUCUUUAGCUCUGCUGCUGCUGGCUGCUGGAUCCUGUGUAAAGUGUGAACAGCUGACACAGCCAGCCUCUGUGACUGUGCAUCCAGGGGAUCGUCUGACCAUCACCUGUCAGACCUCUUAUUCUCUUAGCAGCGCUCGAACAUUUUGGAUCAGACAACCUGCAGGAAAAGAACUGGAGUGCAUUGGUAGUGUACAUGUUGGACACAGCACACGGUACAAAGACUCACUACAGAACAAGUUUAGUAUCGACAUAGACUCCUCCAACAGGACCGUGACUCUGAUCGGACAGAAUGUGCAGCCUGAAGACUCAGCUGUGUAUUACUGUGCCAGAGAACCACCCACAGUAACACAAAGCAUCAUGAGACCUGAACAAAAACCCCUCAGUGACUGAACACACGAAGCCACAAGAGGGUGAUCCCUCAGAGCACCAAUGAUUUCAGAUCAGCACAAUAAGAAGAAAUAAGAUGUCACUUAAAAAUCAACAGCAUGUAAUUAAAUGAGUCAUAAUAAGUUUAAUAUAAUAACCAUAAAAGUCUAAACGAUCCUUCUGUUGGUCUAUUCUCAUUCUUAAAACACAGGCUUUUCACAGACUGAUUGCUCACACAUGGUGUACCUUGCCUCUUGCUGGAUGACCCCAAGUUAGAAAAGUAGUUGAAAAUUUUAAUGCAUGGAUAACAAAAUAAACUAAACAACAAAAGCAAAACAUUUUAUUUUUUGUUUUGUAACCCUGUAUUGUUAAUUAAAUCAUUUAACUUCACUUCUGUCCCAGAUAGCAUUUUUUCCAACAUAAUAGAAGAUAACACGAGACUGAACUCACUGUUAUGCUUUAUCAAAAAUGUGUCUUUGUCUGCUUUAUAUGUGUGU